CAGUCGCCACGGUAAUACGGAGGGCGCGAGCGUUACCCGGAUUUACUGGGCAUAAAGGGCGUGUAGGCGGCCUGGGGCGUCCCAUGUGAAAGGCCACGGCUCAACCGUGGAGGAGCGUGGGAUACGCUCAGGCUAGAGGGUGGGAGAGGGUGGUGGAAUUCCCGGAGUAGCGGUGAAAUGCGCAGAUACCGGGAGGAACGCCGAUGGCGAAGGCAGCCACCUGGUCCACUUCUGACGCUGAGGCGCGAAAGCGUGGGGAGCAAACCGGAUUAGAUACCCCAGUAGUCCCUGUCUCUUAUAC
rnacentral:rRNA from 1 species